GAACAGUCUCCAACGACAGAGGAUUAGGAGCUUUCUAGGGAACACGAAUGAUGGAAAUUGGGAAAAAGCACGAUUCUGGCGGUCUUCUUUGGAAGCGAAUCAAGCUAACUUCUACUCGCAAGGCUAACACCAAGAAGCGCCUUCGUCGUAGUUGGCAGGCUCUGAAGUUACAUAUAGGAAGAUUUUCAAUAACCUCUUAUGUUGAAAACUCAAGUUUUCGAAGGUAUUCGUUUCAUUUAUUAUCACCAGAGAUCACCUGGUCCAACUGCCCUCAUGUAGAAACUCCCCAAGGUUGCAAGAAUUAUAUAUUACAGGAUGAGAGAAAUUAUCAGCACCGAAUCCAGCAAUUUUUAGUCAUAAAGUUGAGCCUUCUAUUUUGAAUGUGGCAACCUUUAAAUGUUACUUUUAAAAACAAAAGUAUAUCAAAACUAGUUAUUAUUGAUUUGUUUAACGCAUGGCAGCUUUGCUGUA